AGAGUUUGAUCCUGGCUCAGAACGAACGCUGGCGGCAGGCUUAACACAUGCAAGUUGAACGGGAUUUGUGUGGUGCUUGCACCAUAUAAUGAGAGUAGCGCACUGGUGAGUAACACGUGGGAACGUACCUUUUGGUGGGGGACAACAUCUGGAAACGGAUGCUAAUACCGCAUAAGACCUGAGGGUGAAAGAUUUAUCGCCGAAAGAACGGCCCGCGGAAGAUUAGGCAGUUGGUGGGGUAAAGGCCUACCAAACCUACGAUCUAUAGCUGGUCUGAGAGGACGAUCAGCCACACUGGAACUGAGACACGGUCCAGACUCCUACGGGAGGCAGCAGUGAGGAAUAUUGGGCAAUGGAGGCAACUCUGACCCAGCCAUGCCGCGUGAGUGAAGAAGGUUUUCGGAUUGUAAAGCUCUUUCGGAUGUGACGAUGAUGACGGUAGCAUCUAAAGAAGCCCCGGCUAACUUCGUGCCAGCAGCCGCGGUAAUACGAAGGGGGCGAGCGUUGUUCGGAAUUACUGGGCGUAAAGGGUGUGUAGGCGGUUAUGUAAGAUAGCGGUGAAAUCCCGGGGCUUAACCUCGGAAUAGCCGUUAUAACUAUGUAGCUAGAGUUAUGGAGAGGAUAGCGGAAUACCCAGUGUAGAGGUGAAAUUCGUAGAUAUUGGGUAGAACACCGGUGGCGAAGGCGGCUAUCUGGCCAUAUACUGACGCUGAGGCACGAAAGCAUGGGUAGCAAACAGGAUUAGAUACCCUGGUAGUCCAUGCCGUAAACG
rnacentral:rRNA from 1 species